rnacentral:tRNA from 2 species
GCGGAUGUAGCACAAUGGUAGUGCAUCUGCCUUCCAAGCAGACUACGAGGGUUCGAUUCCCUUCAUCCGCUCCA